AUUGAACGCUGGCGGCAUGCCUUACACAUGCAAGUCGAACGGCAGCAUGAUCUAGCUUGCUAGAUUGAUGGCGAGUGGCGAACGGGUGAGUAAUACAUCGGAACGUGCCCUGUAGUGGGGGAUAACUAGUCGAAAGAUUAGCUAAUACCGCAUACGACCUGAGGGUGAAAGUGGGGGACCGCAAGGCCUUAUGCUAUAGGAGCGGCCGAUGUCUGAUUAGCUAGUUGGUGAGGUAAAGGCUCACCAAGGCGACGAUCAGUAGCUGGUCUGAGAGGACGAUCAGCCACACUGGGACUGGGACACGGCCCAGACUCCUACGGGAGGCAGCAGUGGGGAAUUUUGGACAAGGGGCGAAAGCCUGAUCCAGCAAUGCCGCGUGUGUGAAGAAGGCCUUCGGGUUGUAAAGCACUUUGGUCCGGAAAGAAAUGGCUCUGGUUAAUGCCUGGGGUCGAUGACGGUACCGGAAGAAUAAGGACCGGCUAACUACGU
rnacentral:rRNA from 1 species